rnacentral:rRNA from 1 species
AGCGUAGACGGUAGACCAAGUCUGAAGUGAAAGCCCGGGGCUCAACCCCGGAACUGCUUUGGAAACUGGUAAACUAGAGUGCAGGAGAGGUAAGUGGAAUUCCUAGUGUAGCGGUGAAAUGCGUAGAUAUUAGGAGGAACACCAGUGGCGAAGGCGGCUUACUGGACUGUAACUGACGUUGAGGCUCGAAAGCGUGGGGAGCAAACA